AUGGGCGGCGGCAGCCUGGCCAUCGUGGAGAAGAAGCCGCCUUUCGGGGGCGGGGGCGCGGGGGGCUGCGCCGGCGGCGUGCUGUUCCACCUCCUCGACUGGCACCGCCGGCUCGCGCGCAAGCGCCGCCUCUUCUCCCCGCGCCGCCUGCUGCCCUCCGCCGUCCGCAGCUCCUCGCUCCGCAGGCUCGCGCCGCCGCCGCCGCCCUCUCCGGCGGCCCCGCAGCCCCCUCGUCACGCGCCGAGCGCGGCCGCCGGAGCCGAUGGCAAAGACGCUGCCGCCCCUCCCGGCGUCGUCGCGCGCCUCAUGGGCCUCGAGUCCUGGCCCGCCGCGCCGCCCAGGCCGCAGAAGCAGAGGAAGGUGGAGUCGACGGCGUCGGCCGGGGGAGGAGACAGUGAGCCGGCGCCGGUGGUGGUGAUGCUGCCGCCGAGCCGGCGCCCGCCCGCGCCCGGGUCGCCCACGCACGCGCCGCGGAGCCACCACAGCGCCGACCUGCCGGCGAGGAGCCCCAGGCGGAGCCGGCUCGUGCACGCCGCCGCCUCGAGGCUGCUGGAGCCGGGCGCGCGCGCGAGCCCCAGGCUGCAGGCCAUCGCGUACGCCUGCUCCUCGCCGCAGCACCGCGGCCACCCCGGCGCCUCGCAGCAGAGCUGGGGCACGCUCGAGCUCGACGACUUCCUGUCUCGCUCCGAUAGCCUGUCGUUAGAGCGUCGCGCGCCUCCUCCACCGGAGCUGGAUGCAGAUCAACGGGGCAAUGCCGUCUGCUGGCAGGAGACAGACUCCAUGAACACCAUGAGCGGCACUGCUGCUGCAGGCUCGGUGACAAGCACUAGUCAUACCAUUGUGGUGCCAAGAGUGGAGUCCUACGAUGCACACACGAGUAGAGGCAGCAGCUCUGAUGUGGAUGCAAUGCAAAGAGAUUAUAGGGCAAGAACUGGGGGAAUGGGCAGUUAUCCUGGGGUCAGAUCGAGCGAUGCCGGUGCCGGUGCCGGCGCAAGAACUGGUGAACAGAGGAUGUUGCGCAAACGGGGAGCCUUGUCUAGGCCAGAUGUUCCAAGGAGGGCUGUGUCUGGGAACUUGGCUAGUUCAACGCGGUCGAUCGGCAAUGCUCGUGAAUCGGCACCUGCUGGUAGUAGGAGAGCAGCACACAAUUCUGGCAGUAGUAGUAUGAGGGCACCACAAAAUUCUGGUCCGAGGAGGGAGUCGAUGAGUUCGACCACCCGGCAAAGAAGCACACUAAGAGACGUGAUCGACCGAAAUGGGUCAGCGUCCACAAGUAGGGAUACAAGCAAUGCAUCUGGGCAGAGGAGAGGAUCACGCAAGAAAAUCGACCGCAGUACCGCAGCCAGUAACAGAGGAGGUCGUAACACAGUUGCAUUUGCCUCUAGUUCAUCCGCGAGACCGGUGUCCAGGGCUUCAUCGGACGACGGCAAAGUUUCAGAGCAUAGAGGGCUCCGAGGCACACACCCCGAUACCGGUUGCACAAGAACGCCAUUGGUAGAUGCCAAAUGUUCUGAAGCCGAACCUUGUGCCGUGAGCGCCACGUCUGAGAAAGAGGAAUUUAGGAGACUCCUGAAAGCAAAGGUGACCGAGCUUGGCCUGUCUGAUAGGGUUGAACCAGGUGAUGGUUGUUCGGCAAACUUGACUGUGUCGGUGCUCCAAGAGCUCAUUUCUGCCCUUACUAAUGACACAAACACCUCAGCAUCCCAGAGUAGUAACUAUUCGGAUUCAUCAGCUCCUUUGAAUAAUGCCGAGACUGUAUAUGAUUCCAAUGAUCAAUCACCUGAUUUUCGCAAGCGUUAUCAGUUCCAGGGUGACCAAGGGGCCGAUUCUUCCGCUACAUGCACAAACGAUGAGCCCAAUCAGCCGAGCCCGACAUCAGUCCUCGAAGCAUGCUUCUCAAACGAUGCUUCCUCCUCAGGAAGUCCAACUGAAAAGAUCGAGAGUACAGAAUUCUUUAUUUCAAUGGAGAACAAAAUGGAAGAUCUCUUCAAUCUUGAGUCUGACAUUGUUGACUUGUCCAUGUCCAUCGACACAACAAAGACUGAUGAUCAUGUCAGCAAUGCUGAAAUACCAUGUGUUCAAAGCUCUCCAGAGCAUGAUUUUGAAUUCCUAGAAGGCAGGCUCCACAGCAUUGGAGAGGCCAUUGCGAAUGCCGAGCUGCUUCUGGACAGUAGCCUCUUCUGUGGCACACCGUCAAGCCUAUCACUCCAUUCUUUCAUCGUCGAGAUGCUGGAGACCGUCGAAGCCGUCUUCGGCGUUGGAACGGAGGGCAGCUUCGGCUUCAAGGAAGAAAACAACUGCCAGCGCACCAACUUUCUGUUCGACUGCAUUGUCGAAUCGCUGGACUCGAAGUUCCGCGAUUUCGGGAAAUGCGGGUACAAGGCUUUGUUGCGAAUGCCCCUCACCCUGAGCAAGGACCUGCUGAAGAGGGAGAUAUCCGAAGAGAUCGGCAACUGGAGCGAGAUCUCGUCGGACCAGGCCGCCGAGAAGGAGCUUGACCAGGUGGUGGCGGCGAGGUGGGACGCGUGCCGGACCGAGGCGUUCGACAUCAGCGUCGCCAUCGAGGACGACAUACUCGAGGCCCUCGUCGGUGAGUUCGCCUUGGACCAAUGCUGCUACUGA
rnacentral:rRNA from 1 species